rnacentral:rRNA from 1 species
GUAGGGUAAGCUACUAAGGGCACACGGUGGAUGCCUUGGCGCCAGGAGCCGAUGAAGGACGGGACGAACACCGAUAUGCCCCGGGGAGCUGUAAGUGAGCGUUGAUCCGGGGAUGUCCGAAUGGGGGAACCCGCCAGCUUGAAGAGCUGGCACCGCCAUCUGAAUCCAUAGGAU